rnacentral:rRNA from 1 species
AGUUCGGAUUGCAGCCUGCAACUCGGCUGCAUGAAGCUGGAAUCGCUAGUAAUCGCGGAUCAGAAUGCCGCGGUGAAUACGUUCCCGGGUCUUGUACACACCGCCCGUCACACCAUGGGAGCCGGAAACGCCCGAAGCCAGCGGCCCAACCGCAAGGGGGGAGCUGUCGAAGGCGGGUCCGGUGACCGGGGUGAAGUCGUAACAAGGUAAC